UAGGGCCGUCAGGGUUCUCCCGCCCUCCGUGAACCCAGGCUAAAAGUUAAGGUAGGGGGGC
rfam:Reticuloendotheliosis virus strain SNV from TSA, complete genome.